CCGCGUGCAGGAUGACUGGCCCUAUGGGUUGUAAACUGCUUUUAUCCGGGAAUAAACCUCUUUACGUGUAGAGAGCUGAAUGUACCGGAAGAAUAAGGAUCGGCUAACUCCGUGCCAGCAGCCGCGGUAAUACGGAGGAUCCAAGCGUUAUCCGGAUUUAUUGGGUUUAAAGGGUGCGUAGGCGGCCUGUUAAGUCAGGGGUGAAAGACGGUAGCUCAACUAUCGCAGUGCCCUUGAUACUGGCGGGCUUGAAUGGACUAGAGGGAGGCGGAAUGAAACGAGUAGCGGUGAAAUGCAUAGAUAUGUCCCAAAACACCGAUCGCGAAGGCAGCUUACUAUGGUCAUAUUGACGCAGAGGCACGAAAGCGUGGGGAUCCAACAGGAUUACAUACCCUGGUAGUCCACGCCCUAAACGAUGAACACUCGCUGUUGGCGAUACACAGUCAGCGGCUAAGCGAAAGCGUUAAGUGUUCCACCUGGGGAGUACGGUCGCAAGAUUGAAACUCACAGGAAUUGACGGGGGCCCGCACAAGUGGAGGAGUAUGUGGUUUAAUUCGAUGAUACGCGAGGAACCUUACCCUGGCUUGAAAGUUAGUGAAUGGUUUAGA
rnacentral:rRNA from 1 species